rnacentral:lncRNA from 1 species
CUAUGAUUCCAUGAUUUUUCUGUUAUAGGUGGGGGUUUUUUAGGUUUAUGCUCUGUGAAGUGGAUUGGAGAAGCAAGGGGAUUUUUUUUUUUUUUUGAAUGUGCUGUAAUGAUAACUAUAGUGAGACAAUUAGAGAUUCAUUGUGGAUUAAAUUCCAGGCUGACUUUUCACAGUAUCAUUUCUAACCUUAUUGCUCCAGAACUGCUCCUCAUUUACAGCUAAUAAUAUCAGAUCAGGAAAAGUUGUUAGAUAAUCUCAGGGCUUACCGUUCUUUUUUCGGGGUUGAAGUGUGAUUUUGAAAGUUCAUAGAAGCCUCAGAGCUAGGAUACCAAUAACAAGCUGAAGAUCAUCUGACAUUCAUGAAAACAUCUGCAUUGUUUACAAAUAAGGGCAGAGAUCUCUUCCUGGAACGAGGUAGAAAAGUGCCAAACCCUGUGGUGUAUGCCCAAGUAAGUUGUGGAAGACGUCGGGAAAGGGAAAGGAUACAAAGGUGCAAAUCUGACCCUUGUAUCCUUGCGAGCCCGAGCGGGAAAUGCUUUGUAGUUCAAAGAGGUUAUAUGUCUGCCAGAUUUCACACAACUCAUUAAAAAGGAGCUUUAAAUACAGCAAACAAAUCAACCCUCAACUCACACAACAUGGAAGGAAUAUGGAAAAGUGUGGUGGCUCUACUUUCGUAUGAAUCUCACCCUUUUGCAGAGGUAAGAUUAUAGUUUUCCUUAGUGACAUUCUCAAGAUUUGACUUUUUCUUUAUUUUUUAUUUGUGAUGUACGUACUAGAAUCAGAGAUCUUUAAUUCAGGGCACAGGCUGCUCUGCCCUCACUUCUAUAAAAUCUAAAAAAAUAGGAAGGUAAUUGUCAUAGGUUAGCGACCGAACCUGCGACAGUAAUGUGUUUUUUUCUCUGUCCUUCCUUGAAGAAGAAGGUGUUCUGUUUUGGUUUCUCCUUCUUAACAACUGGCAGUACAUAAUCUGGGACAGUAUCUGUCUGUUUAGUGACCACAGUGAACUUCCUUGUAUUGUAGUGGUUUGAAAGCCUGGAGGACUCAAAGAUAUGUUAGAAGUCCUUAAAAUAUAGAGGCUUCAUCCACCCACAGUGGUUCCUGUUGAUCUUUUUAACUUUUGCUACAGUAAAGGAUCCUUGGG